UGCCCAUCAACUCCUAUCCCUACCUUCUCGUGGUACUUGCCGGGGCACGAGCAACCUUAGGGAAGAUCGGGUAACCAACCCUGGUGGGAACUUUAGCCGUAUAGGUACUGGCAGGGAAGG
rnacentral:ribozyme from 1 species